GGGUUGUGAGGUUAAGCGACUAAGCGUACACGGUGGAUGCCCUGGCAGUCAGAGGCGAUGAAGGACGUGCUAAUCUGCGAAAAGCGUCGGUAAGGUGAUAUGAACCGUUAUAACCGGCGAUGUCCGAAUGGGGAAACCCAGUGUGAUUCGUCACACUAUCGUUAACUGAAUACAUAGGUUAACGAGGCGAACCGGGGGAACUGAAACAUCUAAGUACCCCGAGGAAAAGAAAUCAACCGAGAUUCCCCCAGUAGCGGCGAGCGAACGGGGAGCAGCCCAGAGUCUGAAUCAGCUUGUGUGUUAGUGGAACGGUCUGGAAAGUCCGACGGUACAGGGUGAUAGUCCCGUACACCAAAAUGCACAGGUUGUGAACUCGAAGAGUAGGGCGGGACACGUGGUAUCCUGUCUGAAUAUGGGGGGACCAUCCUCCAAGGCUAAAUACUCCUGACUGACCGAUAGUGAACCAGUACCGUGAGGGAAAGGCGAAAAGAACCCCGGCGAGGGGAGUGAAAAAGAACCUGAAACCGUGUACGUACAAGCAGUGGGAGCACCUUCGGGUGUGACUGCGUACCUUUUGUAUAAUGGGUCAGCGACUUAUAUUCUGUAGCAAGGUUAACCGUAUAGGGGAGCCGCAGGGAAACCGAGUCUUAACUGGGCGUUAAGUUGCAGGGUAUAGACCCGAAACCCGGUGAUCUAGCCAUGGGCAGGUUGAAGGUUGGGUAACACUAACUGGAGGACCGAACCGACUAAUGUUGAAAAAUUAGCGGAUGACUUGUGGCUGGGGGUGAAAGGCCAAUCAAACCGGGAGAUAGCUGGUUCUCCCCGAAAGCUAUUUAGGUAGCGCCUCGUGAACUCAUCUUCGGGGGUAGAGCACUGUUUCGGCUAGGGGGUCAUCCCGACUUACCAACCCGAUGCAAACUACGAAUACCGAAGAAUGUUAUCACGGGAGACACACGGCGGGUGCUAACGUCCGUCGUGAAGAGGGAAACAACCCAGACCGCCAGCUAAGGUCCCAAAGUCAUGGUUAAGUGGGAAACGAUGUGGGAAGGCACAGACAGCCAGGAUGUUGGCUUAGAAGCAGCCAUCAUUUAAAGAAAGCGUAAUAGCUCACUGGUCGAGUCGGCCUGCGCGGAAGAUGUAACGGGGCUAAACCAUGCACCGAAGCUGCGGCAGCGACACUAUGUGUUGUUGGGUAGGGGAGCGUUCUGUAAGCCUGCGAAGGUGUGCUGUGAGGCAUGCUGGAGGUAUCAGAAGUGCGAAUGCUGACAUAAGUAACGAUAAAGCGGGUGAAAAGCCCGCUCGCCGGAAGACCAAGGGUUCCUGUCCAACGUUAAUCGGGGCAGGGUGAGUCGACCCCUAAGGCGAGGCCGAAAGGCGUAGUCGAUGGGAAACAGGUUAAUAUUCCUGUACUUGGUGUUACUGCGAAGGGGGGACGGAGAAGGCUAUGUUAGCCGGGCGACGGUUGUCCCGGUUUAAGCAUGUAGGCUGGUUGUCCAGGCAAAUCCGGAUAAUCAAGGCUGAGGUGUGAUGACGAGGCACUACGGUGCUGAAGUAACAAAUGCCCUGCUUCCAGGAAAAGCCUCUAAGCAUCAGGUAACAUCAAAUCGUACCCCAAACCGACACAGGUGGUCAGGUAGAGAAUACCAAGGCGCUUGAGAGAACUCGGGUGAAGGAACUAGGCAAAAUGGUGCCGUAACUUCGGGAGAAGGCACGCUGGUGUGUAGGUGAAGCCCCUGCGGGUGGAGCUGAGACCAGUCGAAGAUACCAGCUGGCUGCAACUGUUUAUUAAAAACACAGCACUGUGCAAACACGAAAGUGGACGUAUACGGUGUGACGCCUGCCCGGUGCCGGAAGGUUAAUUGAUGGGGUUAUCCGUAAGGAGAAGCUCUUGAUCGAAGCCCCGGUAAACGGCGGCCGUAACUAUAACGGUCCUAAGGUAGCGAAAUUCCUUGUCGGGUAAGUUCCGACCUGCACGAAUGGCGUAAUGAUGGCCAGGCUGUCUCCACCCGAGACUCAGUGAAAUUGAACUCGCUGUGAAGAUGCAGUGUACCCGCGGCAAGACGGAAAGACCCCGUGAACCUUUACUAUAGCUUGACACUGAACAUUGAGCCUUGAUGUGUAGGAUAGGUGGGAGGCUUUGAAGCGUGGACGCCAGUCUGCGUGGAGCCAACCUUGAAAUACCACCCUUUAAUGUUUGAUGUUCUAACGUUGGCCCCUGACCGGGGUUGCGGACAGUGUCUGGUGGGUAGUUUGACUGGGGCGGUCUCCUCCCAAAGCGUAACGGAGGAGCACGAAGGUUAGCUAAUCCUGGUCGGACAUCAGGAGGUUAGUGCAAUGGCAUAAGCUAGCUUGACUGCGAGCGUGACGGCGCGAGCAGGUGCGAAAGCAGGUCAUAGUGAUCCGGUGGUUCUGAAUGGAAGGGCCAUCGCUCAACGGAUAAAAGGUACUCCGGGGAUAACAGGCUGAUACCGCCCAAGAGUUCAUAUCGACGGCGGUGUUUGGCACCUCGAUGUCGGCUCAUCACAUCCUGGGGCUGAAGUAGGUCCCAAGGGUAUGGCUGUUCGCCAUUUAAAGUGGUACGCGAGCUGGGUUUAGAACGUCGUGAGACAGUUCGGUCCCUAUCUGCCGUGGGCGCUGGAGAAUUGAGGGGGGCUGCUCCUAGUACGAGAGGACCGGAGUGGACGCAUCACUGGUGUUCGGGUUGUCAUGCCAAUGGCACUGCCCGGUAGCUAAAUGCGGAAGAGAUAAGUGCUGAAAGCAUCUAAGCACGAAACUUGCCCCGAGAUGAGUUCUCCCUGAGACUUUAAGUCUCCUGAAGGAACGUU
rnacentral:rRNA from 1 species